AAUAAGGGGCAUAUGUUUAUUCAUAUGUUUAUUUAUGUAACGUAAGCGUGUGACUUUUAAUUCGUGACGUGCUUUCAUGGGCGUGCGCGCGGACCGGAUGGAGUUGCCAUGGAAACGGAGCGCAACACUGCAAAUGUCACGAGGAAACACCAUAGACAGUAAAGGGAAACACCCCGUUUCUCGCUGAUUUCACUGUUUUCAGGAAUGGUUUAAUGUCUUCGAAAAAGUCCGUUAGCAUUUCUACCGUUUUCAGACGACGUAUCGUCAGAAGGGAGUUUUCAAGGUUUCAAUAUUUCUGAAAGGAGCUGCUGACAGAGAUGUAGGAAGCGCUGAAAAGGUUAAGUAACCUAAUAUGCAUUUUUUUCACAACAUAUAUCGCAAUGAAUCUGUUAUUUUAUUUAUUUAUUUUUUGCAUCUCACCUGCUCUAGCUUGUUUCCAUCUAAUAAACCUGGAACUGCAGACUAAAUAUUGUUGGCUCUGUGUCAAAUAGCUUGUUUUGUUCUUAGAUUCUUCAGUGCUGACCCAGACAGCAACAUAGUGUUGGCCCAGAUCCGGCCCACAUCUGGCCCGCAUGAAAUCCAUGUGGGCCAGAUAUGGGCCAGACCUGGGCCGAAACUGCUUGCUGUCUGGGGAUGGCCUGCUGCAUCCAGCAGAGUCGGAGUGAACCUACUGUAAGACAACAUCUCCUAGAUACUAUUGACCACAAGACUAGUACAGGUUAUUAGAAACUGCACAGCACAGGACUUGCAGGACUUGUGAGGACUUCAGAUGAUACCAGUACUCAAAAGACCUUAGAUGAUGGCAGCUAUAGAUGGACAUACAAACUACCGCCACUGCAAAAAAGAUUCUAAUUUGAAAGAAGUUUAUAAUGCAUGUUCGCUACUCCCAAUUCAGAAGACUGAAUCAGCCUGUGUAUCUGAAUGUUUCUCAUACUCACUCCUCUCUGCCGCGUCUGAAUUUGGGAUUUUCCUUAGCUGUCAGUUAUAAACGUCAAAAUUAAAAGAAAUAAACAUUUGAAAUAUAUCAGUCUGUGUGUAAUGAAUAAAUAUAAUAUACAAGUUUCACUUUUUGAAUGGAAUUAGAGAAAUAAAUCAACUUUUUGAUGAUAUUCUAAUUAUAUGACCAGCACCUGUAUAUCAUUGCUCUUUUGUUGAUUUUGAUUGCUUCCAUUGUCCUCAUUUGUAAGUUGCUUUGGAUAAAAGUGUCUGCUAAAUGUAAAUGUAAUGUUAAUGUGUAUUUAACUAUAUUUAUAAAUAUUUAUCUGUAUUUUUUAUUUUGUAAUAAUGUAAAUGUAUUUGUUUUAUAUCUAUACAUGCAGUUGUAUUCAUGUAUGUAUAUUUAUUUGUCAAAUUUUUAUAUUUUAAUAAAGCAGU